UAGGGAAUUUUCCACAAUGGGCGAAAGCCUGAUGGAGCAAUACCGCGUGCAGGAUGAAUGCCUUCGGGUUGUAAACUGCUUUUAUGUGCGAAGAAUUUGACGGUAACACAUGAAUAAGGAUCGGCUAACUACGUGCCAGCAGCCGCGGUCAUACGUAGGAUCCAAGCGUUAUCCGGAAUUACUGGGCGUAAAGAGUUGCGUAGGUGGCAUUGUAAGUGUAGCGUGAAAGCGUGCGGCUCAACCGCAUUUAUGCGCUGCAAACUGCAAAGCUUGAGUAUGAGAGGGGUAGAUGGAAUUUCUAGUGUAGGAGUGAAAUCCGUAGAUAUUAGAAGGAACACCGAUAGCGUAGGCAGUCUACUGGCUCAUUACUGACACUAAGGCACGAAAGCGUGGGUAGCAA
rnacentral:rRNA from 1 species